rnacentral:rRNA from 1 species
GACGAACGCUGGCGGCGUGCUUAACACAUGCAAGUCGAGCGAGGCCCCUCCUUCGGGAGGGUGUCCUAGCGGCGAACGGGUGAGUAACACGUGGGCAACCUGCCCUCAGCUCUGGGAUAACUCCGGGAAACCGGGGCUAAUACCGGAUACGACCUCCACGGGCAUCUGCGGAGGUGGAAAGUUUUUCGGCUGAGGAUGGGCCCGCGGCCUAUCAGCUAGUUGGUGGGGUAGUGGCCCACCAAGGCGACGACGGGUAGCCGGCCUGAGAGGGCGACCGGCCACACUGGGACUGAGACACGGCCCAGACUCCUACGGGAGGCAGCAGUGGGGAAUAUUGCGCAAUGGGCGAAAGCCUGACGCAGCGACGCCGCGUGAGGGACGAAGGCCUUCGGGUUGUAAACCUCUUUCAGCAGGGACGAAGCGAAAGUGACGGUACCUGCAGAAGAAGCAUCGGCCAACUACGUG